rnacentral:rRNA from 1 species
UACGUAGGAUCCGAGCGUUGUCCGGAUUUACUGGGUGUAAAGGGUGCGCAGGCGGUCUGUUAAGUCAGUGGUGAAAUCUCGUCGCUUAACGACGAAACUGCCUUUGAUACUAUCAGUCUUGAAUCCGGUAGAGAUCUGUGGAAUUCCGAGUGUAGCAGUGAAAUGUGUAGAUAUUCGGAAGAACACCAGUGGCGAAGGCAGCAGAUUGGGCCGGUAUUGACGCUCAGGCACGAAAGCAUGGGGAUCAAACAGG